CACUGAGCUAUACUAUAUUACUGGAGGAAGUGCUCGGCAAAAAAAGUGUCCGCAAAAACAUGGCGGAUUUUCGCGCCAUAUGACGCCAUUUCCAUGACAACUGGUUCCUCCGGCUCAUGAAAUUACCACUGACCAGGCUCAAUUCUGAGCCCGCUACAAUUUUCACCCCCCCCUGGUUUUAUCAAAAAUAUUUUUGCUUUUCGACGUUUUUGCAGUAAAUUCUCGUUGUUUUUUAUAUUUUUUCGACUUUUGACCAUUGGUUCAAAAAUUUAAAAGUCGUACACACUAUUCUCACCCGCGAAAGACAAAAAACCGAUAUGAAAACCCCGAAAAAUUUAGGCAAAG